AUGCUCACUUCAGCAGCACAUAUACUUAACUUGGAACAAUACAGAGAAGAUUAUUAGCAUGGCCCCCGUGCAAGGAUGAUGCUCAGAUUUGUGAAGCAGUCCAUAUUUUU
ensembl:snRNA U6 U6 spliceosomal RNA